GAUGAACGCUAGCUACAGGCUUAACACAUGCAAGUCGAGGGGCAGCGGGGAUGAAGCUUGCUUCAUCUGCCGGCGACCAGCGCACGGGUGAGUAACACGUAUGCAACCUGCCCGCCACAGGGGGAUAAACGCUGGAAACGGCGCCUAAUACCCCAUACUAUCGCUAUGCUGCAUGGCAUGGCGAUGAAAACUCCGGUGGUGGCGGAUGGGCAUGCGGCGCAUUAGCUAGUUGGAGGGGUAACGGCCCACCAAGGCGACGAUGCGUAGGGGUUCUGAGAGGAAGGUCCCCCACACUGGUACUGAGACACGGACCAGACUCCUACGGGAGGCAGCAGUGAGGAAUAUUGGUCAAUGGGCGGGAGCCUGAACCAGCCAAGUCGCGUGAGGGAAGACGGCCCUACGGGUUGUAAACCUCUUUAGUCGGGGAGCAAAAAGGACCACGCGUGGUCCAUUGAGCGUACCCGAAGAAUAAGCAUCGGCUAACUCCGUGCCAG
rnacentral:rRNA from 1 species